UCUGGUUGAUCCUGCCAGAGGCCACUGCUAUCGGGGUUCGAUUAAGCCAUGCGAGUCGAGAGGUGAAAGACCUCGGCGUACUGCUCAGUAACACGUGGACAACCUACCCUAAGGAGGGGGAUAACCCCGGGAAACUGGGGAUAAUACCCCAUAGACUAGAGAAGCUGGAAUGCUCUCAAGUCCAAAGGUCCGCCGCCUUAGGAUGGGUCUGCGGUCGAUUAGGUUGUUGUUGGGGUAACGGCCCAACAAGCCCGUGAUCGAUACGGGUUGUGAGAGCAAGAGCCCGGAGAUGGAUUCUGAGACACGAAUCCAGGCCCUACGGGGCGCAGCAGGCGCGAAAACUUUACAAUGCGGGAAACCGUGAUAAGGGAACCCCGAGUGCCCGUAAAUUCGGGCUGUCCAUCAGCGUAAAUAACUGGUGAAGAAAGGGCCGGGCAAGACCGGUGCCAGCCGCCGCGGUAAUACCGGCGGCUCGAGUGGUGGCCACUAUUAUUGGGCUUAAAGCGUCCGUAGCUUGGUUGUUAAGUCUCUUGGGAAAUCUACCGGCUCAACCGGUAGGCGUUCAGGAGAUACUGGCAAUCUAGGGACCGGGAGAGGUGAGAGGUACUCCAGGGGUAGGAGUGCAAUCCUGUAAUCCUUGGGGGACCACCUGUGGCGAAGGCGUCUCACUAGAACGGCUCCGACAGUGAGGGACGAAAGCUGGGGGAGCAAACCGGAUUAGAUACCCGGGUAGUCUCAGCUGUAAACGAUGCGCGUUAGGUGUAUCGGUGACCACGAGUCACCGAGGUGCCGAAGGGAAACCGUGAAACGUGCCGCCUGGGAAGUACGGUCGCAAGGCUGAAACUUAAAGGAAUUGGCGGGGGAGCACCACAACAGGUGGAGCCUGCGGUUUAAUCGGACUCAACGCCGGAAAGCUCACCGGAUAAGACAGCGGAAUGAUAGCCGGGCUGAAGACUCUGCUUGACUAGCUGAGAGGAGGUGCAUGGCCGUCGUCAGUUCGUACUGUGAAGCAUCCUGUUAAGUCAGGCAACGAGCGAGACCC
rnacentral:rRNA from 1 species